rnacentral:rRNA from 1 species
UACAGAGGGGGCAAGCGUUAUUCGGAAUUAUUGGGCGUAAAGGGCGCGUAGGCGGCUUUGCAAGUGACGGGUGAAAUCCCUCGGCUUAACCGAGGAACUGCCUGUCAAACUGCAUGGCUUGAGACCGGGAGAGGUGAGUGGAAUUCCCAGUGUAGCGGUGAAAUGCGUAGAUAUUGGGAAGAACACCAGUGGCGAAGGCGGCUCACUGGACCGGUACUGACGCUGAUGCGCGAAAGCGUGGGGAGCAAACGGG